rnacentral:rRNA from 1 species
UACGGAGGGUGCAAGCGUUAUCCGGAUUUAUUGGGUUUAAAGGGUGCGUAGGUGGGUUGGUAAGUCAGUGGUGAAAUCUUCGAGCUUAACUCGGAAACUGCCAUUGAUACUAUCAAUCUUGAAUUAUCUGGAGGUAAGCGGAAUAUGUCAUGUAGCGGUGAAAUGCUUAGAUAUGACAUAGAACACCCAUUGCGAAGGCAGCUUACUACGGAUAUAUUGACACUGAGGCACGAAAGCGUGGGGAUCAAACAGG